UAUGUCUCUAUAUUGAGAAAGUGUAUAUAUGAUUCUUCAUCGGUUGUUCCUUUUGAAGGAUUGGGUAUCUCAAAUUCUCUGUUUUAUAAAGAGGUCCCGAUUGAGAUCAUGGAUUGGAAGGUUUAUCGGUUGGGGACCAAGGAUGUAGCUUCGGUUAAGUUGUAUCCCCAACCGAUGCAGGAAUCAACUAUUUUAUUCCUUUUGCUUAGUGAUCGGAUUCGGGAUCAGCUCGAUUGGAUUGAAGUAGUGAGCUUCCAUAUUUCAGAAGGCUCUAUUUCAUGUCAUAGAUCUUUUCACAUACUUAUGUUAUUUCAUAGACAUUGGUUUUGGCUAUAGUUUGGGGCGUGUCCCAAUCGAAUAUUGUUUUACUCUUGGUUAGAGGCUUUAUGAAACUACUAUGGGUUGGUAUGGGCUGUGUCUAUAAUUGUGUUAGCCUUAUUAUUUGCAUUGUUAUUGGGGCUAAUACCGGAUAACUUUAUUUGAUUUAUGAUUUUUCCAUUUUAUUUUGGAUAAUAUAUUUAUAUUGGAACUCA